GACGAACGCUGGCGGCGUGCUUAACACAUGCAAGUCGAACGGGUCUGCCCUGUUUUUUGCGGGGUGGGUCAGUGGCGAACGGGUGAGUAACACGUGAGUAACCUGCCCCUCACUUCUGGAUAACCGCUUGAAAGGGUGGCUAAUACGGGGUGUUCUGGCUGUGCCGCAUGGUGUGGCUGGGAAAGAUUCACUUUUGUGGUGUUUUGGUGGGGGAUGGGCUCGCGGCCUAUCAGCUUGUUGGUGGGGUGAUGGCCUGCCAAGGCUUUGACGGGUAGCCGGCCUGAGAGGGUGGGCGGUCACACUGGGACUGAGAUACGGCCCAGACUCCUGCGGGAGGCAGCAGUGGGGGGUAGUGCACAAUGGGCGGAAGCCUGAUGCAGCGACGUCGCGUGAGGGAUGGAGGCCUUCGGGUUGUGAACCUCUUUCGCCGGUGAAGAAGGUCCUGCUCUUUGUGGUGGGGUUGACGGUAGCAGGGUUAUGAAGCGCCGGCUAACUACGUG
rnacentral:rRNA from 1 species